rnacentral:rRNA from 1 species
CAUUGUCGAAAUCGAACGGAAGAACGACCCGCGAACAGUUAUUGACAACCAUGGAGGGCCCGUGGGCGCGCGACGCUCACUCGGCUCUCGUCGUGUCGGCGUGGACGUACCCGAGGCCCGCGUCGUACCGACGGAAAGACAUUGUCAGCACGGAUCGUGCCAAGGAGCUGCAUGGAGAGGAUCGUCGUCCCGCGCCUUCGGUUGCCCUCGUUGUGGGACUGGAGGCCGGGGACGCGUGCGAUCUCUGCUCAAGUCUAAAUGACUCUCGGCAACGGAUAUCUCGGCUCUUGCAUCGAUGAAGAACGUAGCGAAAUGCGAUACUUGGUGUGAAUUGCAGAAUCCCGCGAACCAUCAAUUCUUUGAACGCAAGUUGCGCCCGAAGCCAUUCGGCCGAGGGCACGCCUGCCUGGGUGUCGUGAAUCCCCUUGCCCCAGGGCACCCUUCUUCAUGCAUUUGCAUUGGCGAAGAAACGCUCGGGCGCAGAACGUGGUCUCCCGUGGGAUCGGCACGCGCGCGUGUCGAGGCGCGGUCGGCCGAAAAUCGAGCAUGGCGGUUACGGGCACCACGUCGUUCGGUGGAUCGAACGAGAUUGGCUGCGUCGUGGUCUCGGCAAUCGUCUCGCUUCGGGCUUUGUUGAUCCCGAGUGCGA